AGUGAACGCUGGCGGUAGGCCUAACACAUGCAAGUCGAACGGCAGCACAGUAAGAGCUUGCUCUUACGGGUGGCGAGUGGCGGACGGGUGAGGAAUACAUCGGAAUCUACUUUUUCGUGGGGGAUAACGUAGGGAAACUUACGCUAAUACCGCAUACGACCUACGGGUGAAAGCAGGGGAUCUUCGGACCUUGCGCGAUUGAAUGAGCCGAUGUCGGAUUAGCUAGUUGGCGGGUUAAAGGCCCACCAAGGCGACGAUCCGUAGCUGGUCUGAGAGGAUGAUCAGCCACACUGGAACUGAGACACGGUCCAGACUCCUACGAGAGGCAGCAGUGGGGAAUAUUGGACAAUGGGCGCAAGCCUGAUCCAGCCAUACCGCGUGGGUGAAGAAGGCCUUCGGGUUGUAAAGCCCUUUUGUUGGGAAAGAAAAGCAGCAGGUUAAUACCCAGCUGUUCUGACGGUACCCAAAGAAUAAGCACCGGCUAACUUCGUG
rnacentral:rRNA from 1 species